AAAAAAACUUGUCCAAAAAAUUAAAAAAGGAAGAAGAGGGAGAUCUAAUGAAACCCUAGAUCUACUUGCCGCAUCUCUUCGCCAUUGUCACCGUCAAGCUUGUCAUAGUGUUUGAGAUCAGAGGGAGACGCAUGAAUCUCACCGCAGUCAAAGACGCCGACGAAGUCAUGGAGAGGUACGUCGAGGACACGCUUGCAAUCCUCCCUCCUCUUAGGGAUUACUACCGCACGUGCUGCGGCGGCGCGCCGUCACAUGAGAAGCUUAGCCUCGUGGACGUUGGAACAGGUGCUGGUCUUCCCGGAGUUGUUUUUGUCAUAGCUUGUCCAGGUUGCAUCUAUGGAUGAUCGGGGUCUGUCAGCCUGUUCCCUGUCCAAUGGCACCAUCUUCUCCUUCUUUUUCUCUCGCUUCUUCUUUGUUGCAUGUCUUUGGUGCUUCUUUGCCGCCUCUUAACACCGUCUCCAUUGGUAUGCGCCGAUACUUUCCUCCUAAUUUUGCUUUGUGCUAGGUUGUUGCUUUGAUGAUUUUUUAUUCUUGAUCUUUGUUUGGUUAGAUUUUUUGUUCCAUUAAGAUCUGUUAUUGAGUUCUAAGUUUGUUGAUCUUUGUUUGUGUUCUUUUGAUUGCGAAUCCACUUGAUUUAAAAACUCCAAAAUUUUCUUGAUUGUUGUUUAUCUUGGAAGAUUUAUUAUACAGAGGUGCUCUCCAUUGAAACCUAUUGUUAGCAUCUUUGAUAGAAAUCUAGGGAUUUCUGGUUAAAUUAUUUGGUGUGGUUUAUUUGGUUUGGGGUUUGUGCUGUGCUAAUUAGGAAUUGAGAUAGAUUAAUGGUAACUGAUUAAUGUUGGUGCAUCUAUAUUUUUGGAUUUCCUGAAAUUGUAUGAUAAAAUCAUUGUCCCUUAUUUAUCAUUUAUUCUGAAUUCAUUGUGCUCGAUUUUUAUCUUUCAUUGGAACAUUUGAUCUCUCUUUCAUUGAAAUGUUCCAAUGAGUCCAAACAUGAAAUGCUAGAAGCAUCAAUGCCAUUGCAAUGAGUCCAAACAUGAAUGCUAAGCCACCAAACAGGUACGGAGUUGGAGAUGAAAUGUUUCUCAAACUUAUUGCACUUCCUCCUACUGCAUCCAUUAUGAAGUACUUUAAUUUCUUGCAAAUUGCAUUAAAGACCUCAAUUAUACGAAUUUAUUUCAUUAAAGAGCAUAUAAAUUUAGUGUUCCGUUGCUUUGCUUUGAGGAUGGGUUUUAGUUACUUGUAGUCGUGUUAUUGGGAUAUGGCAUAGAAGCAAAAGGGAUUUUUAUUUAUUUAUAUAUGAAUUAUUGAAUUAUAAGGUGACUCACAUUCAUAUUAAUGGACCCACUCAUGUUGAA